CUUAACUGAGAUACUUCAAUGAUACUUAUUGAGAUACUUCACUGGGGAACAUCAUUGAGAGACAUCAUUGAGACUUCACUGAGAUACUUAAUUGGUAUACUUAAUUGGGAUACAUCGUUGAGAUACUUCACUGGGGUACUUCAUUGAGAUACAUCAUUUAUACUUCAGUGAGAUACAUCACUGAAAUACUUCAUUGGGAUACUUCAUUGAGAUACACAAUUGAUACUUCACUGAGAUACUUCAUUGGGAUACUUCACUGGGAUACUUCAUUGACAUACAUCAUUGAUACUUCACUGAGAUACUUCACUGAGAUACUUCAAUGAUACGUCAUUGGGAUACUUCAUUGAGAUACUUCACUGAAGAACAUCAUUGAGACUUCAUUGAGAGAUGUCAUUGAGACUUCACUGAGAUACUUCGUUAAUACGUCAUUGAGAUACAUUAUUGAUACUUCACUGAACUACUUCAUUGGGAUACAUCAUCGAGAUACUUCACUGAGAUACAUCACUGAGAUACUUCAUUAAUACUGCAUUGGGAUACUUCAUUGAUACUUCGCUGAGAUACGUCACUAAGAUACUUCACUGAGCUACUUCAUUGAGAUACAUCAUUGAUACUUCACAGAGAUACUACAUUGGGAUACUUCAUUAAUACUUAAUUGGGAUACGUCAUUGAUACUUCACUAAGGUACUUCACUGAGCUACUUCAUUGAGAUACAUCAUUGAUACUUCACUGGGAUACUGCAUUAAUAAUUCAUUGGGAUAUUUCAUUGAGAUACUUAACUGAGAUACUUCAUUGAGAGACGUCAUUGAUACUUCUCUGAGAUACGCCAUUGAGAUAUUUCAUUGAGAUGAAGCAGUCUAGGUGCCUAUAGAGUCUAUUCAACAGUUGUCAAGCUACCAGGAGCCUUUGCGCACUUUGUUUUACACAAUUUUGCUCACAUUUUAAUAUUUCAUCAUAAAAUAAUUGGGAAAUAAGAAGCGUAGAGAGAACAAGAGAGCUGCAGAAAUACAAACUGCAGAUAAACAAAACACAGUACACAGAAUUAAUGUAUAAACUCAGCUGGAAUAUUCUCAGUAGAUUUAGGGCACCUUUAGUUAAUUGUUAAUAGGAUAUAUUUUUGUUUGUCAACCCAGUGAGCAGUUCCUUGAUAUUUCUCGCUGUCAAUUAUACUCGAAAAAGCUCUGAUUAAAAAAAAGAAAGGUGACUGAAAUAAAAUACAUUAAAGGAUCACUAUAGUGUCAGGAAAACAAACUCGUUUUCAUGACACUAUUUAAUCUUUAGGGUCCCCCCACCUGCUGGGCUGAAGGGGCUAAAACCCCUUCAGCCACUUACCUUUUUUCAGUGCCAGGCUCCCUCGGCGCUGGUGACCUCUCCUCACCCUCCGACGUCAGCUCCCGAGUGGAGCUGAAUGCUCAUGUGCGGCAAGAGCCACGCGCGCAUUAAAAACGCCUAUAGGAAAGCAUUUCUCAAUGGCUCUCCGGAAUAUAAGAUAACACAGGGAUAAACGUAAAUAAAAGGCAAAACCAAAGAAAACGACAGAGGAAACAGAGGUCAGGGAGAUGGAGAGUCCACAACAUCCGAGAAAUGUUAAAUCAGGUCCGUACGACCAGGGGCCAGGAAUCCAGAGGCCACCGUAGCAAUAUCCCAGCCAGCCCUAAUUAUAUGGAAAUGUUCUGUAAAUAUUCUCUCUCUGCCAGCUUAUCACACCGCAGCACCUCGCUGCCAGCCAUUCAUUGCUCUCCUAUUCCCAAUAUGACACCAGUUUAUUUACAGGACGAGCUGGGUCUGGGAGAUAAAACUUCACAAGAUGUAAAUUACCGCUAAUGUGGGAGAGAGUGUUAAUGCUAAAUAGAAUUAGAGAGAUGGAUGGCUUUAUAUCUGCUCAGCUGUUGAGGAGACAGAAAUAUCAAUAGGGGCAAAUUCUUCACAAAUAAUGUGCAAACGGGGUCCAGGGGCUGACAGGCGGUUACCGCUCAUCGUCGUAUAACUUCAGUCUGUGAAUAUUGUGUGUGUUUGUGCGUGUGCAUCUGACGAAUAUAACUGUAAAAGACCAAUGCUUCUGUUACUGUUGUGUCAUCAUGUUAGGUCUAUGUUGUCUCUUGGUUGGCCAAAGAUGCCAGGGACCCUAGCCAUGUUCCCUACUGCUUUAUGUACAAUGCAUAAUUCGAAAGAUAAAGCAGGCUCUGCAGGAUUACAUUGUGGCACAGUAAAUGGUUGAUGGUUUACCCCCUGCAGUCCAGGCACAUCCUCUGUACCCAAUUAGGGAGGCAGAGUGGGGUCUGAUAAUUAGAUUCAUUGUCGUCGUCCCCCCCUCUGUUUGGAAUUACCUGUACAUGAAGUCUUCUGUUAAUUAGAGUUUGAUAUUUUUAAUAACAUUACCUGUUGUCUUUUGUACCUGUAAUUGAAUUACCUGGUUUAAACUAGGCUCUCUAUUGUUUGAAUUUACCAUGUUAUAAUUGAUUGGGCUUUUCACAUCCCUGAUUGGUGACUGUUGUUUAUGUGUUAUUUGGAGAACUGCUAUAUAUUAUGUCUAUGAACCAGAAUAAAGGUGUUUGUGAUUUA